GUGAGGUGGGCGGGGUCAGCCUGCGGUGGAGGGGAAGGGCCCUAGAGCCGUGGGGAGAGGCAGCCCGUGGCCUGGAGCAGUGGUUGGUGACCUUUGGAGUGGCGGUUGGGCGGUUGGGCGGUUGCAUGGGGCGGCCUGGGACUCGGGGGCGGGGUCAGUCAUAUAAGGCUGUGCCCAGCGCUUUUGGAAGCAGUAAGUCCAGCCCGAGGCUAAGGUGAGAGCGUCUGCCGGGACAGUGUGGCUGGACCCACGUGGCAGGGUGGAUCGGGCGGAGGCCGUCAAGCUAGCCGGAAGGGGCUGUGCUGUCAACCAGCGAGCGCAGGAGGUGUUAACCACCGAAGGGAGGUAGAAUGUUUUUCCCCACCAGAGGAGGCAGCGACCACGUCUCCUCUAUGGAGGCAUUCAAGAGCCGUCCAGCUGAAGCAGCAUCACUGUCUGAGCUCGGAAGGCACAAUCCACAUAGGUCUGCAUGGUCCACCGAGCUGCAUACCCACGGGGCCAGCGGGAGGUGGGCAGCUGCUGGGCUCUCUUCUGAAGCAGACAGGAUCUCACUCUGUUGCUGAGGCUGGAUCACAGCUCCCUGCAACCUUGAACUCUCCCUCAAGCAAUUCUCCCCACUCUGCCUUCCAAAGCACUAGCAUUAUAGGCCUAAGCCACCACUCCCAUCCACUGUAGUGUAAACUGUCUCCUUCAAUGUUUCCAAUAGUUGCGGAGCAGAUCAGAUAAGGGUUCUUCCUGUCUGUUGCUUCAAGUUUCAUUCUCUCUUUAAACAAUACAAGGUUGGCUUCCAUGGUUCCUUCUUAAAGAAUGUUGAAGGUGUGUCUUCAGAUUCAUUUAGUGUUCGUGGAACCCCAGGGAAAGCUGAUGUAAAAACCUCUUUUUUCUCCCAUAUGUCUCAAAAAGUUGUAUUUUCUGGGUCCAAGGGAUCUGCAAGCCUCCUAAAGGCAUUUCCAUUGUCACUACCACCAGGUGUGAACUGUAAUCUGGCACGUAUAGUUCCAAGAACUGUCAUAAUAGAUGCUGAAGAAACAUUGUGAAGUUAACUCGCUGUUACCAACUGUGAAGUCAUUAGCUAGAGGAAUCUUGGGCGGUCUGAAAUCUGAGAUACUGUGGAAAGAACAGAAAGAUCCUGUAUCUUUCCUAUAAUUGUUCUACUGGAAGUUGUCAUUUUACACAGGAGACAUUCUGUUUUAUUUAUUUUCUUUUGAGACAGGGUCUCACUCUGUCGCCCAGGCUGGAGUGCAGUGUUGUUACCACAGGUCACUGGUGCCUCCACUGCCUGAGGACUGCUCAAGCAAUCCUCCUGCCUCAGUCCCCUGAGGAGCUGGGGCCACAGGCCUGCACCACCAUGCCUGGCUAAUUAUUUUUAUUUGUAGAGACAAAGUCUAUCUUGCCUAGGCUGAUCUCGAACUCCUGGGCUCAAGUAAUCCUCCCGCGGUGGCUUCUCAAAGUGCUUGGGAUUACAGAUGUAAGCUACCAUGCCCGGCCUCACAGGAGACAUUUUUGAUGUCCCUCUUGACAGUCUACAAAAGUCUACAAAUCUUUUUUUUUUUUUUUUUGAGACAGGGUCUUGCUCUGUCACCCAGUCUGGAAUGCAGUGGUGCCAUCAUAGCUCACUACAGCCUGAGCUGUACUGAGCUCGAGGGAUCUUCCCGUCUCCGCCUCCUAAGCAGCUGGGACUACAGGUAAUGGAAGUGGGCAGAGAAUGAUCCUUUCCCUAGGCUCCAGUGUGUAAGAAUUAAAGAAAGAGGAAAGAAACACAAUGGCUUGAUGGUCGAGGACAGGUUUAUUUUAAAGAAAACAAACCCAAGAGUGGCUUCUGGCUGAGUUAGAUCAGAGGCAUGCUCUCUUACAGACUAAGAGUUUUUAAGGAUUCAGGGUGGGAGAGUUUAUCAGAGGCUUGGACUGCUUCUGUGUCUCUUUAGGUGUGCUUAUCUGGGAGGGAGUUGUGUGUCUGUUUCCAUACAUCUUCCUGCAGCUGCAGGCAUACCCCCAGGUCUGCUUUUAGCUUCCCUAUCUUAGUGCACCUGAAGGGAAAGAAUGUGCUUAUUAAGGCCCACUGUUAUACUGGGGCCCAAUGUAUGAGGGUGAAGUUUGGCAAUUACCCAAGAGACUUUCCCCCCACCUCCCUCUGUGCCUGAGCUGUCUCAUCUAUGUUUUACUGUCUGCUCUUUCUGUCUGCUUGUUGUUAGAAGAGAAGUGAUUUUCUUGAAAUGCAUGAGGCUGGAAAGGGAGCUGGCACUUAAAGUGGCGGUGUUUGUCCGAGAGGAUGGUGCUCCUGCUCUGUCACAGUGGGCAUGGGGAUUCAGGCCACUGCCACCGAAUUUCAAGAGCCCAAGCACAGAGCCCAGAACUAAAUUGUGAGGGUUUAAAAAAAAAAAAAGCUUUAUUGAAGUAUAAUUGACAUACAAUAAACUUGAAUAUU
rnacentral:lncRNA from 1 species